rnacentral:misc_RNA from 1 species
GGAUGAAGAACGUAGCGAAAUGCGAUAAGUAGUGUGAAUUGCAGAAUUCAGUGAAUCAUCGAAUCUUUGAACGCACAUUGCGCCCUUUGGUAUUCCAAAGGGCAUGCCUGUUCGAGCGUCAUUUGUACCCUCAAGCUUUGCUUGGUGUUGGGCGUCUUGUCUCUAGCUUUGCUGGAGACUCGCCUUAAAGUAAUUGGCAGCCGGCCUACUGGUUUCGGAGCGCAGCACAAGUCGCACUCUCUAUCAGCAAAGGUCUAGCAUCCACUAAGCCUUUUUUUCAACUUUUGACCUCGGAUCAGGUAGGGAUACCCGCUGAACUUAAGCAUAUCAAUAAGCGGAGGA